UGCCCCCUGGCCCAGCUGGUUAAGGCGCACGACUGUUACAGUUGGGAUCAUUUGCUUACGCAAUCCUGAUUACGUAAUCGGAAUCGUGAGAUCGGGAGUUCAAUCCUCCCGGGGGCAG